rnacentral:rRNA from 1 species
AACGAACGCUGGCGGCAGGCCUAACACAUGCAAGUCGAACGGGUGUAGCAAUACAUCAGUGGCGCACGGGUGAGUAACACGUGGGAACGUGCCCUUCACUACGGGACAACGUCGGGAAACUGACGCUAAUACCGUAUAAUGUCUCCGGACCAAAGAUUUAUCGGUGAAGGAUCGGCCCGCGUCUGAUUAGCUAGUUGGUGAGGUAAUGGCUCACCAAGGCGACGAUCAGUAGCUGGUUUGAGAGAAUGAUCAGCCACACUGGGACUGAGACACGGCCCAGACUCCUACGGGAGGCAGCAGUGAGGAAUCUUGGACAAUGGGCGCAAGCCUGAUCCAGCCAUGCCGCGUGAGUGAUGAAGGCCUUAGGGUUGUAAAGCUCUUUUGCCGGGGAUGAUAAUGACCGUACCCGGAGAAUAAGCCACGGCUAAAUUCGUGCCAGCCGCCGCAGUAAGAC